rnacentral:rRNA from 1 species
CAGCAGCCACGGGAAUACGUAGGUGGCAAGCGUUGUCCGGAAUUAUUGGGCGUAAAGGGCUCGCAGGCGGUCUCUUAAGUCUGAUGUGAAAGCCCCCGGCUCAACCGGGGAGGGUCAUUGGAAACUGGGAAACUUGAGUGCAGAAGAGGAGAGUGGAAUUCCACGUGUAGCGGUGAAAUGCGUAGAGAUGUGGAGGAACACCAGUGGCGAAGGCGACUCUCUGGUCUGUAACUGACGCUGAGGAGCGAAAGCGUGGGGAGCGAACAGGAUUAGAUACCCCGGUAGUCCCUGUCUCUUAUAC